AGUGGGAGAGGGGCAGCGCGUGAGGUACAAGAUCGAUCGUUUGAUUGCUCCUUGUUCGACGUGAUCAGUUUGAAACCGCUUGACACGGCCAGCUAAGCGAAGCGGCCAAAUGAGCACAUCGUUGUCAUACGAAACACAUCAUAGUAGAGAAAGACAUAGGCAAAAAAGGACGAAAGGGAACGAGCCCGGCUAUUAAAAGAUCCGUAGGACACACCUCCUUUGUUCUGCGUGCCUUUGGCUACUCCAAGCUAGGAGGGUCAAAGUUGUCUGAAAACGGCUGAAAAAGCCAAAAAGAAGCAUUCCUGCCGCACAGCAGAGCAUACAACACCGCAGUUACAGCAAGGGAACUGGGAAUACACAUUUCACAGCAUUUCAUCCUACACACACCAUCAGGGGUCACCCGGGAGGGAACGUGAGCCGCCGCCAGACCGUGUGACUCACCAGCAGCUUCUCCAGGUAGACGGACCAGAUGACGGCGUAGUGGCCGACGGUGAUGA